AACGAACGCUGGCGGCAGGCUUAACACAUGCAAGUCGAGCGCCCCGCAAGGGGAGCGGCAGACGGGUGAGUAACGCGUGGGAAUCUACCCAUCUCUACGGAAUAACGCAUGGAAACGUGUGCUAAUACCGUAUACGUCCUUCGGGAGCAAGAUUUAUCGGAGAUGGAUGAGCCCGCGUUGGAUUAGCUAGUUGGUGGGUAAAGGCCUACCAAGGCGACGAUCCAUAGCUGGUCUGAGAGGAUGAUCAGCCACACUGGGACUGAGACACGGCCCAGACUCCUACGGGAGGCAGCAGUGGGGAAUAUUGGACAAUGGGCGCAAGCCUGAUCCAGCCAUGCCGCGUGAGUGAUGAAGGCCCUAGGGUUGUAAAGCUCUUUCACCGGUGAAGAUAAUGACGGUAACCGGAGAAGAAGCCCCGGCUAACUUCGUGCCAGCCGCCGCUGUAACAC
rnacentral:rRNA from 1 species